CAAUAAAUAAAUAAAAAACACACACCCAAAUACAGGUUGAUAGCUCACAUAACAAACAGAGAUACCAUUUGUCAGAUUGCUUAUGCCCAUAUGUAAGGGGAUAUGAUAGUUUGCACAGCAUACGCACAUGAACUGCCAAAAUAUGGUGUGAAGAUUGGCCUGACAAAUGAUGCUGCAGCGUACUAUAUUGGCCUGCUGCUGGCCCACAGGCUUUUCAAUAGGUUUGGCAUGGAUAAGAUCUAUGAAGGCCGGCCGGGCGCAUCUAUGAAGGCCAAGCGGAGUUGAUUGGAGAUGAAUAUAAUGUGGAAAGCAUUGAUGUUCAACCAGGUGUCUUUAUCUGCUAUCUGGAUGCAGGCCUUGCCAGAACUACCACUGGCAAUAAAGUUUUUGGCACCCCAAAGGAAGCUAUGGAUGGAGGCUUGUCUAUCCCUCACAGUACCAAACAAUUCCCUGGUUAUGAUUCUGAAAGCAAAUAAUUUAAUGUGGAAGUACACCAGAAGCACAUCAUGGGCCAGAAUGUUUCAGAUUACAUGUGCUACUUAAUGGAGGAAGAUGAAGAUGCUUACAAGAAACAGUUCUCUCAACACAUAAAGAACAGUGUAACUCCAGACAUGAUGGGGAAGAUGUAUAAGAAAGCUCUUGCUGCCACAGGAGAGAAUCCAGUCUAUGAGAAGCCCAAGAAAGAAGUUAAAAUGAUGAGGUGGAACCAUCCCAAAAUGUCCCUUAUAAAGACAAUA
rnacentral:lncRNA from 10 species